rnacentral:rRNA from 1 species
GACGAACGCUGGCGGCGUGCUUAACACAUGCAAGUCGAACGGAAAGGCCUCUGCUUGCAGGGGUACUCGAGUGGCGAACGGGUGAGUAACACGUGGGUGAUCUGCCUUGCACUCUGGGAUAAGCUUGGGAAACUGGGUCUAAUACCGGAUAGGAACCGUCUUUAGUGUGGUGGUUGGAAAGUUUUUCGGUGCAAGAUGAGCUCGCGGCCUAUCAGCUUGUUGGUGGGGUAAUGGCCUACCAAGGCGUCGACGGGUAGCCGGCCUGAGAGGGUGUACGGCCACAUUGGGACUGAGAUACGGCCCAGACUCCUACGGGAGGCAGCAGUGGGGAAUAUUGCACAAUGGGCGGAAGCCUGAUGCAGCGACGCCGCGUGGGGGAUGACGGCCUUCGGGUUGUAAACUCCUUUCGACAGGGACGAAGCUUUUUGUGACGGUACCUGUAUAAGAAGCACCGGCUAACUACGUGCCAGCAGCCGCGGUAAUACGUAGGGUGCGAGCGUUGUCCGGAAUUACUGGGCGUAAAGAGCUCGUAGGUGGUUUGUCGCGUCGUCUGUGAAAUUCCGGGGCUUAACUCCGGGCGUGCAGGCGAUACGGGCAUAACUUGAGUGCUGUAGGGGAGACUGGAAUUCCUGGUGUAGCGGUGAAAUGCGCAGAUAUCAGGAGGAACACCGAUGGCGAAGGCAGGUCUCUGGGCAGUUACUGACGCUGAGGAGCGAAAGCAUGGGUAGCGAACAGGAUUAGAUACCCUGGUAGUCCAUGCCGUAAACGGUGGGCGCUAGGUGUAGGGGGCUUCCACGUCUUCUGUGCCGUAGCUAACGCAUUAAGCGCCCCGCCUGGGGAGUACGGCCGCAAGGCUAAAACUCAAAGGAAUUGACGGGGGCCCGCACAAGCGGCGGAGCAUGUGGAUUAAUUCGAUGCAACGCGAAGAACCUUACCUGGGCUUGACAUACACCAGAUCGCUGCAGAGAUGUAGUUUCCCUUGUGGUUGGUGUACAGGUGGUGCAUGGUUGUCGUCAGCUCGUGUCGUGAGGUGUUGGGUUAAGUCCCGCAACGAGCGCAACCCUUGUCUUAUGUUGCCAGCAUUUGGUUGGGGACUCAUGAGAGACUGCCGGGGUUAACUCGGAGGAAGGUGGGGAUGACGUCAAAUCAUCAUGCCCCUUAUGUCCAGGGCUUCACACAUGCUACAAUGGUCGGUACAACGCGCAACGACACUGUGAGGUGGAGCGAAUCGCUGAAAGCCGGUCUUAGUUCGGAUUGGGGUCUGCAACUCGACCCCAUGAAGUCGGAGUCGCUAGUAAUCGUAGAUCAGCAAUGCUGCGGUGAAUACGUUCCCGGGCCU